UUGAAUUGUUGUUCCUGAAAUCUUGCUCAAUUCAAAUAUUAGAUUUAUCAUGUGGUGUAUGAACAUUGUAUGUUUGUUAAUUAUGUCUAAAUUUAGGAUUCAAAGGACUAAAGUCCAACAAUCUCCCCCCUUUUUGGCAUAAUUGACAAUUCAUACAAUUUUAACUUGAGCAUUUCAAAACAACAAGCAUAAGAGUAUUAU
rnacentral:lncRNA from 1 species